CCACACUCCUCUCGAGUGUCCUCCCUCGCCCACACGCCUCACGAGUUGCUACUUCCGGGAACACAGGCGUUCCGCUUCGGCGUAGCCACUGCGCAUGCGCCAACGUCAUUGCUUCGGAUGUUCUUCUUCAUGUUGCUGGAUUUGGAGUGGCAAUACACUUUAAGGUGGCAAGGAUACAGAAGCUCUUUCGGAAAAAAAAAACCCAGUGGCAAUUCUGAAACAACUGCUUCAGCUCUACAGUCCAAUAUCCAACCAACAACAUAACUUUUAUUUCAAGUAACUCUGGCCAAGGUGGAGAAAUGGAAACUGUACUGGAUUGAACACAUCUCGGAGAGGCAAAGUAUGAAGUGUUGAUUAUUACCUUUAAAACAUGAAUGGUUUGGGUCCCGGUCACCUACAAGAGCUUCUCAGAUCCUCUGAAGGGCACUUACUCCAGUCAUCCAGGACUAGGCUGGCAAUAGUCACCAUCAGCUACUACUAGAUCGUGAAACAUCCUGCUAGAAAAGAUUUGACAGCUGGGUAUGCUUUCUGAAUUUAAAACAGCAAUAAAGAUCUCUCUUUAGCCGGCCUAUCCAGAUGAUUUUUAAAUUAUGAAUUUUAAACUGUAUACUGAUUGUUUUAAAUGUGUUGCUCCUAUAUGUUCUUUUAAACUGCUUUUUGAACUGGUUUAUGUGUUUUAUAACUGAUGGAUCAUGUUGCAUUUUAAUAUGUUGCUGUCCCCUGCCUUGAUCCAUAGGAGGCAGGUAAGUAAUAACAGCAACAACAACAACAACAACCACAAACGUGGGUUGUUGUGAGUUUUCCAGGCAGUAUGGUUUCCAGACUUCAUUAGCUACAAGCCGCAAGACAUUCUCAGUCUGGAUCAUUCUUUUCUGGAAUAUUUGUGCAACACAGCCUUGGAAGUCAUAGACUUAUUGAGAUGGUUAAAUUGCAGACCACACAAAUCAUGUGCCGAGGAGAUAUUUACUAAUUUUGUUUUGCUUCAGGCAGUUGUGUGGAUGACGAAUAAGUGACAGAGCUUGUUCCUAUUUUUUGGUAGUUUAAGGAAAAAAACUCUGAAUGAUUUCUAUUUCACUCAGAAGCCACUUUCCGCAUCUUUGUGCUCUGUAGCUACACACCUACACAGAGAAAGCAAGAGAGAGAGCAGAACAAAGGGCACAUGGACUGAAAUAGAGCUUCCACAUAAUUGUUGCCAAAACACAAUAAAAAACAAGCAUCCAGAAGAAAGGAAUAAUAAUAACAACAACAAAAACAACAACAACAACAACAACAACAACUUGGUGCCACAAAUACCAUCUGCCUGUGACAAAGAAUUGGUGGUAUCACAAGCUUGAAAAAGUUACAGAAAAUGUACACGUCAAACUAUUCUUGGACUUUCAAAUUCAGACAAAGUUUUGGAGCACAAUACCCUUGACCUCACAAUCAUGUUAAAAAAUGAAGUGCGGAUCGUCGAUGUUGCAAUCCCAGGUGACAUCAGAAUCGAUGAGAAGCAACUGGAAAAGCUGAUGCGAUAUGAGGAUUUAAAGAUCGAAGUGCAAAGACUCUGGCACAAGCCAGUAAAGGUGGUCCCAGUGAUGAUUGGCACACUGGAUCCAGUGCCUAAAGACCUUGGCCAGCACUUGAAAACAACUGGCACUGACAUAAUUACCAUCAGCUGCAAAAGGCCACCCUACUCGGAUCUGCAUGCAUUAUUUGACGAUACAUCACAUAGUCCUAGACACUUGGGAAGUGUCCAGUGUGUGAUCCAAUACAACAGCCAGCAUAGUGAUCUUGCUUGCUGAGUACUA